rnacentral:tRNA from 1 species
UGGCUGAGCGGUAAAGCGCUUGGCUUCCGAACAGGGGGUUCCCGGGUUCGAAUCCUGG